rnacentral:rRNA from 1 species
UACGUAGGGUGCAAGCGUUAUCCGGAAUUAUUGGGCGUAAAGAGCUCGUAGGCGGUCUGUCGCGUCUGCUGUGAAAUCUGGGGGCUCAACCCCCAGCCUGCAGUGGGUACGGGCAGACUAGAGUGCGGUAGGGGAGAUUGGAACUCCUGGUGUAGCGGUGGAAUGCGCAGAUAUCAGGAAGAACACCGAUGGCGAAGGCAGAUCUCUGGGCCGUAACUGACGCUGAGGAGCGAAAGCCAGGGGAGCAAACGGG